AGAGUUUGAUCCUGGCUCAGGACAAACGCUGGCGGCGUGCGUAACACAUGCAAGUCGAACGGGGUCUGCAUCUUUCGGGGUGCAGACUGAGUGGCGGACGGGUGAGUAACACGUGGAUAACCUACCUGCUGAGGGGGAUACCCUGUAGAAAUACGGGCUAAGACCGCAUACGGUGGUUUCUGGGGAGCCGGGAGCCAAGA
rnacentral:rRNA from 1 species